UAUAGGGCAAGAUUGUGAGUGGCUCUAAAGCCAACAGAUUAGCAUAAGAUAAGGCAUAAAGAAGCAUGUAUGUCAGGUGACCAGCAUGAAGGAUGGGACAGAAGGACCAUCUCUGUACCAAGCCUGGACCCCAGGCUCCCAGUGUGAGUGAGGACCAUAUCCUGAGCAAGGGACCUUCCCAGUGACCCCUCAGACAGCGUUGAUCGGGGACACCAGACUUCACUGGAACAACUUGGCGUGCACCUGGCAUAGAGGGACUGCCGAUAAGUUGCCAGCCCCAUGUGAGAACUCUUUAAAAUCAAUGUGUCUGUGAU